rnacentral:misc_RNA from 1 species
CAGCACCUAAGCAUUCCUGCAGUUCGUAAAACACAUAAAGAAGGGCACCCUUCGGAUGCCGUGCUGCAGCCCUCCAUCCCACGUCGCUCCGACGCGGCCGCUCGUCACGUCAGCGCUGCUGCUACUAGUGUGCGUGUUGGCCGCUGCGCUUGGGUGCGCGAGUGCCCGCAAGCAGCUGCCGCUGAACACCCCCUAUCCCCCCGUUGUGCAGGAUGCUUUGCGCUGCGACGUGUGCUCCUUCAUUGUCGUGAAUGCCCUCUACCAAGUAGAGGCGAAGCGAGAGGAGCAGCAGAGGAAGCGGCUGCAGGUGCGUGAGGACGACGUGCUGGAGGAGGUUGAGAAUAUGUGUGUCCCUUUCAAGGACCAGGGCCAGUGGAUUCGCCAAGUGGCUCUGCAAAUGGAAGAGGUGGCGCCUUCGAAGAGAGGAGCUGACAGGCCCGCUGCCGCAACGCCUCGCUAUCACAUGAGCGUGGGAGUGGUGGACUACUACAGCAAGUGCGGCCGAAUCUGCGAAACCGUGGCGGUGCUUUGUGAGGAGUGGAUGGACAGCGGCUACAUGGACGGCUUCUCCAGCCGCCUUGUAAAGGAAGCGAAGGCUGGGCGCAACAUCAGCGAUGCGGCGCACCGCGACGUCGUCUUUGGCAGUUUCUGCGCUCCCUCCACGCACUGCAAGAAGCACGCGACCUUUGUCCGCAAGCUGGACAUGGCCCUCACGAAAGACACGGAGCUGCGUGAGUCGAUUGACGCGGACAGGCCCCAGGAGAUUGAGACGGAGGAGCGAGAGAUGGAGACGAUGCUCCACCGCCUGACCCGUGAGCAGGGCCAGUCCGCCGACGUCUUCUCCCGGGACGAGAUCCGUCGAAUGAAGGAAGCCUUUGUGACGGGGAACAAGGAGGAUUUGCAGGCGGUCGAUCCCACCGCUUUCGACCUCACCGACGAUGAAUUCUCAACGCUGCAGGACUACAUGCGUGGUGAGGAACGCAAACAACAGCAGCGGCAGCGCCGGCCAAGUGCUCCGAGCGACGCUGACGAUCUCUAAGGCACAGAGGAGCAUGUGCGUGCGCGUCUGCUUCCAUUACGAAGCAGACCAGUCGACUC